rnacentral:tRNA from 1 species
UGAGUUUAUAGCUUAAAGGUUAGAGCGUACGCUUGAUAAGCGUAAGGUUGAUCGUUCAAUUCGAUCUAAACUCAA